AUGGAGAGUUUAGAGGUCUUAGCUCUGUUGAUUAGAGUUUCAGAGGUUGAAAACUCUAACAACAAUGGUGAUGAGCGUAUAUGUGAGCUGUUUCCAGUUUGGACUGUUUUGAAGAUGGUUAGGAGGUUGGCAGGUAGCGUAUUCAACAAUCUAUACUGGACUUGUUGCAUGUAUUAUGAACUGAUGUCAUUCUUGUGCAGGUUCAGUGGUGCAGCUUGGCAUGGUGAAUGA